rnacentral:miRNA from 1 species
UGUGGAUAGAGAAGGGUUAGU